GACGAACGCUGGCGGCGUGCUUAACACAUGCAAGUCGAACGGAAAGGCCCUGCUGUUGUGGGGUGCUCGAAUGGCGAACGGGUGAGUAACACGAGAGUAACCUGCCCUUGACUUUGGUAUAACUUCAGGAAACUGGGGCUAAUACCGGAUAGGAGCUCCUGCUGCAUGGUGGGGGUUGGAAAUUUUCGGCGGUUGGGGAUGGACUCGCGGCUUAUCAGCUUGUUGGUGGGGUAGUGGCUUACCAAGGCUUUGACGGGUAGCCGGCCUGAGAGGGUGACCGGCCACAUUGGGACUGAGAUACGGCCCAGACUCCUACGGGAGGCAGCAGUGGGGAAUAUUGCACAAUGGGCGGAAGCCUGAUGCAGCAACGCCGCGUGCGGGAUGACGGCCUUCGGGUUGUAAACCGCUUUCGCCUGUGACGAAGCGUGAGUGACGGUAAUGGGUAAAGAAGCACCGGCUAACUACGUG
rnacentral:rRNA from 1 species